UUCCCCCCUCCGACAGUGGGUUCCGAGGCUUUCCUCCGCUCUUCCGUUUCCGUUUCCGGGGGAAGGGACCAGAUGCAGAGCACGCCACUUCUCGCCUCCUGCUGGAGAGACAGGGUGGUACUGAGGAAGACCUCCUUUUCCCACUCCCACUUUACCAACCCCCACUAGGGGGUCAUCCAGGGCCUCAAAACAAGGUCCCAGGAGGAGGAGCUCAAGGACUUCCUUUGGUUGAGGGAGGCCCAGAUUGGCUGGCCUGCGGCAUAUGGCAGAACUACGGAGGAGAAUACAGGACAGAAAAUUAGAAAUGAAACAAUAUCAAGGAUGGUGUGAAAGCAUGUUUAAUGGGUUCCCUUGGCUGACUACCUUAAUAUCUACCUUUGCUGGACCACUCGUUAGUUAUAUUCUUACUAAUAAUACUCACCUUUGGGCCUUACGUACUAAACAGGUUAAUCAACUUUGUUAGAGAACAAAUUAGUGCAGUUCAGUUGAUGGUCCUCAGGUCUCAAUAUCAACCCUUGCACCCAAAAAUAAUGGACUCCAAAGUCCCAUGAUUGGGCCUUCCUUAGGUACUUGUGAAGGGCAGAAUGAAGGGCCCCCAACUUGACAAGACAGACUCCAUCUUGUAACCAGGCCUCCAUUUUAUAUAGUAGGCCCUGUCCUAAGGGCCUACUAUACUACUAUUACUACUAUUACUGAAAAAGAUAAAACCAACUGAAAUCAUUGUAACUGCCAAGCUGAUAAGCCCCUCACCCUGACCAUAAUUAAAAGGCUGUACCUGAGGUGCUAAAAGGCCUUCUGUACUACUUUGCUGUGUUGGGAGGGCCUGAGGGCCCCAAGUGUGAGCCUGAAUAAAGAUGCUUGGCUUUUGCAUA